UACGAAGGGGGCUAGCGUUUCUCGGAAUCACUGGGCGUAAAGGGCGCGUAGGCGGCGUUUUAAGUCGGGGGUGAAAGCCUGUGGCUCAACCACAGCAUGGCCUUCGAUACUGGGACGCUUGAGUAUGGUAGAGGUUGGUGGAACUGCGAGUGUAGAGGUGAAAUUCGUAGAUAUUCGCAAGAACACCGGUGGCGAAGGCGGCCAACUGGACCAUCACUGACGCUGAGGCGCGAAAGCGUGGGGAGCAAACAGG
rnacentral:rRNA from 1 species